GCAGAAGUAACAUUCCUUUGAACACUCAGCUUUCUGAAAUGGUGUCCCACCGCAAGGACUGGAGAAGGGACUUUACUGAAGACUCUAAGGAGGACCUGUAUCUGUUGGGAUCCUCAGGGCAAGCCACAGAAACAAGCUUUGGAUACUAGAAGCAGAAAAUGGAGAUAUUGAAGACUAUUGUGGAGUUUACUGUGAGCCAGAGAACCAGGCUGGGGGGCUGUAUCACUUAGAAUGAGAUCCAAACUCACACCAUAGUUCCAUCCUUGAGGUUGCCAUGUUGCUGCCACCCCUCCUGCCACCCCACCACUGAAGCUUUGGAUGCUGGAUUCUGGGCACAGCAGGGAGAAGUGUUGCUUAUUACCAUUUUAGUAUGUUUUCUUUCAAGACCUUUUCAAAAUAUACAUACGUAUUUUUAUUUCUAUUCAAAAUGGGAUACAUUUUUGAAGGUUAGCAAUAUAUUGUGAACAUUUUCUUUCCAUGCUCAGAAACAUUUUUCUAUAAUGUAAUUUAUAGUGAUAUAAACUAUCUCAUAGACCUACCAUAGUUUACCUAACAAAUCCCAAAUCAUUUGUGCCAUUUCUAAAUUUUUAUUAUUUUAUGUAAUGCUUUAAUGAACAUCCUUGCAUUUAUAUUUUAUACAAUUUUAGAAGUGGAAUUACUGGUUCAAAAUACAUGGUGAUUUUUAAUUCUU
rnacentral:lncRNA from 10 species